CUGCCUUCAUAAGGAUCUCUGUUGCAGCAAUGAUGUGGUCAUCUUGAAGGGCAGGACUGCACCAUUUGUAUUGCACUCUUUACCACCAUGAAGCUGGCCUAAUCUUGCCUCCACGGGGCCCAGAUAGCGAUCGCUAACAGGAGGCUCGCGCUGAGCUCCUUUGAAAUGCAGAGCGGCUCUGUGUGUAAAUUGGAGCCGGCGCACGGGAGCCACGGGAUGACACGUCGAGCCGCGACCCCUCUCUCCUGAUCGGGGCCAAGCAUGCAAAGAAAAAAGCCGAGUGAAUCGAGCCUGAGCAACAACAUCAACAACGACAGUAACAACAGACACAGAAACAUACCCAACCCAGAGGCGAAGUCAGCCAGGAGGAAAUUGCAUACAGCACAAAAGACUGAGGGGAGAGUGAGGUCCUUGUCAAUAAAGUGAAUGUUUAUGGCUAUGGCUGGGUCCUUGAGAGAGCAGUGGCACUGCUUGGUCCCAUCUGCAUAUCCCAGAGGAAGGAUCUG